CCUACGGGGGGCAGCAGUGAGGAAUAUUGGUCAAUGGACGAGAGUCUGAACCAGCCAAGUAGCGUGAAGGAUGACUGCCCUAUGGGUUGUAAACUUCUUUUAUAUGGGAAUAAAACGUUCCACGUGUGGGAUUUUGUAUGUACCAUAUGAAUAAGGAUAGGCUAACUCCGUGCCAGCAGCCGCGGUAAUACGGAGGAUCCGAGCGUUAUCCGGAUUUAUUGGGUUUAAAGGGAGCGUAGGUGGAUUGUUAAGUCAGUUGUGAAAGUUUGCGGCUCAACCGUAAAAUUGCAGUUGAAACUGGCAGUCUUGAGUACAGUAGAGGUGGGCGGAAUUCGUGGUGUAGCGGUGAAAUGCUUAGAUAUCACGAAGAACUCCGAUUGCGAAGGCAGUUCACUGGACUGCAACUGACACUGAGGCUCGAAAGUGUGGGUAUCAAACAGGAUUAGAUACCCUAGUAGUC
rnacentral:rRNA from 1 species